CAGGAGAGGCGGGGCCUCACGGGGAGGCGCGCCUUCUGCAGCAGCCUGGGCUGAGCUCUCCUGGUCGUCCUCCCGUGAUGGGCACCCAAAUGCCUCUAACCUGUUGCUACAAUGAACAUCUUUGUGCCUGUCCCCUUAUGCACCUGGGCUUAAGUUUCUCUGGGAUGCAUCCCUGGAAUGGACUACUGGACCAUAUUCAUUUCUAGUACUGCUGGACAAAUUAAUGACAUGGGGUUUCUGAAUACAAGGAAGGUCAAAGAGGAAAAGAGAAUGAGUGAGAGAGAGCACAAGCAGGGGGAGCAGCAGAGGGAGAAGGAGAAGCAGGCUCUAUGCUGAACAGAGAGCCUGAUGCGGGCCUUGAUCCCAGGACCCUGGGAUCAUGACCUGAGCCAAAGGCAGACACUUAACCGACUGAGCCACCCAGGCGCCCUGGUAAUUCUGUUUUUAUUUUAUUUUGUUUUUCUCUACUGUCUAACAUUGUUUAAUACCUAACAAGAAUCAGUUUUGAGCUGGGAAUAUCAGCUAAUGUAUAGUAAGCUAUUACUCUGUGCCAGGUUCACUUAUAUUUUUACAAUAAACCUAUGAACUAGAAGAUAAAC